CGUGUAUGGAGUGCCCGCUCUGGCCUGGGCCCUGGUUUAGGGCUGGGGGCUUCGUGCAGGACGGUAGGCGAGGGGCUCACAUGGUAGAUGAACUCGACAUCUGCUUCCUUCGAUUUUGGAGAAUUUUCAUGUUGCCACAUGGAAGCCAGAUUCUUCUGACCGCUGGUCCAGUUCUCUCCCUGAGGGCGCAGGUGGCCAGAACCGGUGGAUCUGUCCCCUGGGGAUUUUCCAAGUCCAGAGGGGGGCCAGGCUCAGAGAGAAGGUGGAAUUCUUCCCCUGGGAGUCCCCUCGGGGAAGAGGAGGUGGGGCAGGACGGGGCCUAGGAGGUAGUCGGGGCCUGGGCAGUGCUAAGAAGGAUGGGAUCCUGGCUUCCGCACAGAAAGCAGAGACACCAGGAGGCGUUGUGUACAGGUGCCUCUUGCACCAAAAACUGACUAAUCACUCCCCUGGGAGGCCCUGGGGACUCAGGUAUAUCCUUGCCCUAAAGUAAUCUAGUCUCUUGGCAAAUGCGUAAUUAGAAUAUAAGAUAAGAGUUAUAAUAGAGGCGUAAGAGACAACAGGCUGUGGGCUCAGCGAGGAAGGAAUGUUUACUUGGGAUGAGGGGGCCUUCACAGAGGAGGGGAUACUUGAAAUGGGUUUUGGAAGGUGAGUAGGCAUGCACACCGAGAGAGGAGGGAGCAGGCAGAGGGGUGGGAGGCUGUGCGGGAGCACUCCGAGGGAACUACAAGUACAGAAUGGGUCUGGGGGGUGUGACAGGAGGUGAGAGCAGGAGGUGGUUUGGGGGCCACGUUGCCAAGGUCCUUGAGUCCAGGCUUGGGAUUUCGACAUCGUUCUGUGGCUCACUGAUACUUGAAUAGAGCACUAGGAUUUGUAUUUUAGAAUGUGGGUCAAGGAGGGGGAGCUGGGGGGGGGGUGGUGGCUAGCUCCCGUGGGAGUGUGCGGGGCCAGGGGACGGGUUAGACGUUGCUGGAGGAGAGCCGAGCCCCAGGCGCGGGCAGGGAGGAGGCUGGGGGGGCAGAAACGCCGCUUCUGCGUAGGGAAUGCAGGACAGGAACAGACCUGGGGGGCUAACCAAGUACCGGUUUACACAGGAGGUUUAUGUUUCCCGAAGCACAGAGCGCUCUGGAAGCAGGAUGGCCGCUUAUCCGUGUGGUCAUGGAGCCAGGGCCCUCUGCUUGUCCACUUUGCCGCCCUCAGCACCCUGGUCACAAGGUGGUGGCCUCGGCCACAGAGCUACGUGCCCGCGGGGGGAGGGGUGGGGGGGUGAGGUCUUCUCCUUUUAAAGGCCUCUUUUUAUCUGGUAAGGAAAUCUUUUCUAGCCACUUCCUAGACCGAUUAGCCUCAGGGGAAAAAACUGGCUCAGUGUCCAGGGCCCGACCUACACCUUCCAGGGAGGGGAAGGGACGCUCUGUCUGGGGCUGGGGCCCACCUCCCCCACAUGGGGCCUACUCUGCUCCCAGUAGAAACCUGUUAGCCUGGGGGAGGGGUGGGCACCAAACAGAGCCCCGUGCCCACUCUGGGACUUCCACGGAGGGUCCCAGAGGGCAGCCGGAGGGGGGUGGUCUGGAGCUCGGGAGGGGUGGGGUGCUUUGGGACAUCGUGGUGAGCCUUGAGUCUCUAGGCAGGGAAGAAGAGACUGCUGGAUGUGGGGCUAGGAGCCCCUCUGAGACGGAAGCGAAAGGGCCCCACCAAAACUCUAGCAGGAGCCUCUGCUCUUGCCAGGACCCUCCCCCACACCUUACACGCGCCUCUGGGAAGAGUGCAUAUCCUCCGGUGAAGGUCAAGGGGUCAGUGACCUCUUCCAGCACAGCAGUCAGCGCCUAAAGAGUGACGGGCAGGAUCACGGUUUCCAAGACCACCGACUCCCCCAGGCCCCAGGCCAAGAAGGACUAGAGGAUCAGCGCAGAAAACGUGGAGAAGCACAGAGGUGACAGCGCCCUCGGGAGCGGGCCCAACCGGCCCCUUCCCCACAGCUCGGCAGGUUUUAUGGCGAAUGUCUUUGUGAGGCUGCGGUUUAAUGCCCGUGUUACGGCCAGCUCGGAACCCCUUGCGUUUGUGUAACAUUUUAUGACCUUCCAGUGUGUUCGGCUGCGUAUUUUA